AUACGUAGGUGGCAAGCGUUAUCCGGAUUUACUGGGUGUAAAGGGCGCGUAGGCGGGGGUGCAAGUCAGAUGUGAAAUCUAUGGGCUUAACUCAUAAACUGCAUUUGAAACUGUAUCUCUUGAGUGCUGGAGAGGUAGACGGAAUUCCUUGUGUAGCGGUGAAAUGCGUAGAUAUAAGGAAGAACACCAGUGGCGAAGGCGGUCUACUGGACAGUAACUGACGCUGAGGCGCGAAAGCGUGGGGAGCAAACAGGAUUAGAUGCCCUGGUAGUCCACGCUGUAAACGAUGAAUACUAGGUGUGGGGGGACUGACCCCCUCCGUGCCGCAGUUAACACAAUAAGCAUUCCGCCUGGGGAGUACGGCCGCAAGGUUGAAACUCAAAGGAAUUGACGGGG
rnacentral:rRNA from 1 species